GACCGACGCGGAUUACGG
rnacentral:sRNA from 1 species